AGGUGUUGUUGGACUACAACUCCCAUCACCCCUGACCAUUGGCCAUGCUGGCUGGGGAUGCUGGGAGUUGUAGUCCAACAGCAUCU